GCUCGUCUACCCUGUAGAUCGAGCUGUGUGUUUGAAACAAUCAUACACGAGCUAGACUACAAGGUGCACGAACA
rnacentral:pre_miRNA from 15 species